rnacentral:rRNA from 1 species
GAUGAACGCUGGCGGCGUGCCUAAUACGUGCAAGUCGAGCGAACGGACGAGAAGCUUGCUUCUCUGAUGUUAGCGGCGGACGGGUGAGUAACACGUGGAUAACCUACCUAUAAGACUGGGAUAACUUCGGGAAACCGGAGCUAAUACCGGAUGAUAUUUUGAACCGCAUGGUUCAAAAGUGAAAGACGGUCUUGCUGUCACUUAUAGAUGGAUCCGCGCUGCAUUAGCUAGUUGGUAAGGUAACGGCUUACCAAGGCAACGAUGCAUAGCCGACCUGAGAGGGUGAUCGGCCACACUGGAACUGAGACACGGUCCAGACUCCUACGGGAGGCAGCAGUGGGGAAUCUUCCGCAAUGGGCGAAAGCCUGACGGAGCAACGCCGCGUGAGUGAUGAAGGUCUUCGGAUCGUAAAACUCUGUUAUUAGGGAAGAACAUAUGUGUAAGUAACUGUGCACAUCUUGACGGUACCUAAUCAGAAAGCCACGGCUAACUACGUG